rnacentral:rRNA from 3 species
UAAACGAUGUACACUAGUUGUUGGGGUGCUAGUCAUCUCAGUAAUGCAGCUAACGCAUUAAGUGUACCGCCUGGGGAGUACGGUCGCAAGAUUAAAACUCAAAGGAAUAGACGGGGACCCGCACAAGCGGUGGAGCAUGUGGUUUAAUUCGAAGAUACGCGAAGAACCUUACCUGGGCUUGAUAUCCUAAGAACCUUUUAGAGAUAAGAGGGUGCUAGCUUGCUAGAACUUAGAGACAGGUGCUGCACGGCUGUCGUCAGCUCGUGUCGUGAGAUGUUGGGUUAAGUCCCGCAACGAGCGCAACCCACGUAUUUAGUUGCUAACGGUUCGGCCGAGCACUCUAAAUAGACUGCCUUCGUAAGGAGGAGGAAGGUGUGGACGACGUCAAGUCAUCAUGGCCCUUAUGCCCAGGGCGACACACGUGCUACAAUGGCAUAUACAAUGAGACGCAAUACCGCGAGGUGGAGCAAAUCUAUAAAAUAUGUCCCAGUUCGGAUUGUUCUCUGCAACUCGAGAGCAUGAAGCCGGAAUCGCUAGUAAUCGUAGAUCAGCCAUGCUACGGUGAAUACGUUCCCGGGUCUUGUACUCACCGCCCGUCACACCAUGGGAGUUGAUUUCACUCGAAGCCGGAAUACUAAACUAGUUACCGUCCACAGUGGAAUCAGCGACUGGGGUGAAGUCGUAACAAGGUAACCGUAGGAGAACCUGCGGUUGGAUCACCUCCUUUCUA